rnacentral:tRNA from 1 species
GGGGCGGUGGCGCAGUUGGUUAGCGCGUCGGUCUCAUAAUCCGGAGGUCGAGAGUUCGAGCCUCUCUCGCCCCA